AUCCUCUGGUGUAUGAGUUUCUGAUUGAAUGUUCAUGCCAGAUGCACAGCUGUGCCCCCCUCAGACCUUGUUGUGAUGUCAGCACAUUACCAUCUGAUA